AAUAGCUCCUUCCGUGUCCUACAUAUGAUAAUCUAGUUUAUCAUGUACUAUUCUAUCUGGGAUUUCCAAAUCUGGAUUUGCAAUUAUUAUGAAUAUGCAAUUAUUAUUGCGGUUGCAGGAACUGGGCAGGGCUAGUCUAGUGAAGAGAAGGAUCAGGGGAGAGACAUGAUAGCAGAAUUAGAAUUAGAAUUUUAUUGGCCAAGUGUGAUUGGACACACAAGGAAUUUGUCUUGGUGCAUAUGCUCUCAGUGCACAUAAAAGAAAAGAUACCAGGAUAGCAGUCUUCCAAUAUUUGAGGGGCUGCCACAGAGAGGAAGGGGUCAAGCUAUUUUCCAAAGCUCCUGGACAAGAAGCAAUGGCUGGAAACUAAUCAAGGAGAGAGUCAACCUGGAAAUAAGGAUAAAUUUCCUGACAGUUGAGGACAAUUAAUCAGUGGGACAACUUGGAUCCAGAAGUUGUGGGUACUCCAUCACUGCAGGAUUUUAAGAAGAUGUUGGACAACCAUUUACCCAGAAUGGAAGGAGUCGGGUGCUAACUUUCUACAUCGGGUUCGAGAAGAAAAAAUCUGUCAGGCAGAAGCCAAUAAAUUCACAGCUGUGUCUCUACAGCUGACCAAGGACUGUAUUACAAGGGAACCUUCCUUACAGGUCACCCAUCUUUCCUUUUAGCCCAACCGUGGGUGGAAUACAGCCGGUUCGGACCGGUUCGGGUGAACCGGGUGUUAAUUUUAAUCUGGUUCGCUGAACCAAUUCUUGCAAGGACUGGCUGACCUCGCCCACCCCACCCCACCCCUCCCAGGAGUCUCCACACAGCCUGUUUUAGAUGCUAGUCAAGGUCAGGCCAAGACGGCAUCUGGAGAAGGAGUGGUCGGAGUGAUGCCUCAAGAUGGGACAGGUGGUGAUUGGAGCACGUGAUCGGCACAGGAGUCAAGGGGUGGAGGUGGGGUGGGGUUUUGUACUACUGAGGAAAAACCCGGAUCUCCA